GCAACGCGAAGAACCUUACCUACCCUUGACAUGUACGGAACUUGCCAGAGAUGGCUUGGUGCUCGAAAGAGAGCCGUAACACAGGUGCUGCAUGGCUGUCGUCAGCUCGUGUCGUGAGAUGUUGGGUUAAGUCCCGCAACGAGCGCAACCCUUGUCAUUAAUUGCCAUCAUUCAGUUGGGCACUUUAAUGAGACUGCCGGUGAUAAACCGGAGGAAGGUGGGGAUGACGUCAAGUCCUCAUGGCCCUUAUGGGUAGGGCUUCACACGUAAUACAAUGGCGCGUACAGAGGGUUGCCAACCCGCGAGGGGGAGCUAAUCUCAGAAAGCGCGUCGUAGUCCGGAUUGGAGUCUGCAACUCGACUCC
rnacentral:rRNA from 1 species